rnacentral:rRNA from 1 species
GUGCCAGCCGCCGCGGUAAUACCGGCAGCUCAAGUGAUGUCCCAUAUUAUUGGGCCUAAAGCGUCCGUAGCUGGCCGCGCAAGUCCGUCGGGAAAUCCACCUGCCCAACAGGUGGGCGUCCGGCGGAAACUGUGUGGCUUGGAACCGGAAGGCUCAGAGAGUACGUCCGGGGUAGGAGUGAAAUCCCGUAAUCCCGAACGGACCACCGAUGGCGAAAGCAUCUCGAGAAAACGGAUCCGACAGUGAGGGACGAAAGCUAGGGUCUCGAACCGGAUUAGAUACCCUGGUAGUCC